rnacentral:rRNA from 1 species
GAUGAACGCUGCCCUUGAGACUAAUACAUGCAAGUCGAGCGAACGGACGAGAAGCUUGCUUCUCUGAUGUUAGCGGCGGACGGGUGAGUAACACGUGGAUAACCUACCUAUAAGACUGGGAUAACUUCGGGAAACCGGAGCUAAUACCGGAUAAUAUUUUGAACCGCAUGGUUCAAAAGUGAAAGACGGUCUUGCUGUCACUUAUAGAUGGAUCCGCGCUGCAUUAGCUAGUUGGUAAGGUAACGGCUUACCAAGGCAACGAUGCAUAGCCGACCUGAGAGGGUGAUCGGCCACACUGGAACUGAGACACGGUCCAGACUCCUACGGGAGGCAGCAGUAGGGAAUCUUCCGCAAUGGGCGAAAGCCUGACGGAGCAACGCCGCGUGAGUGAUGAAGGUCUUCGGAUCGUAAAACUCUGUUAUUAGGGAAGAACAUAUGUGUAAGUAACUGUGCACAUCUUGACGGUACCUAAUCAGAAAGCCACGGCUAACUACGUGCCAGCAGCCGCGGUAAUACGUAGGUGGCAAGCGUUAUCCGGAAUUAUUGGGCGUAAAGCGCGCGUAGGCGGUUUUUUAAGUCUGAUGUGAAAGCCCACGGCUCAACCGUGGAGGGUCAUUGGAAACUGGAAAACUUGAGUGCAGAAGAGGAAAGUGGAAUUCCAUGUGUAGCGGUGAAAUGCGCAGAGAUAUGGAGGAACACCAGUGGCGAAGGCGACUUUCUGGUCUGUAACUGACGCUGAUGUGCGAAAGCGUGGGGAUCAAACAGGAUUAGAUACCCUGGUAGUCCACGCCGUAAACGAUGAGUGCUAAGUGUUAGGGGGUUUCCGCCCCUUAGUGCUGCAGCUAACGCAUUAAGCACUCCGCCUGGGGAGUACGACCGCAAGGUUGAAACUCAAAGGAAUUGACGGGGACCCGCACAAGCGGUGGAGCAUGUGGUUUAAUUCGAAGCAACGCGAAGAACCUUACCAAAUCUUGACAUCCUUUGACAACUCUAGAGAUAGAGCCUUCCCCUUCGGGGGACAAAGUGACAGGUGGUGCAUGGUUGUCGUCAGCUCGUGUCGUGAGAUGUUGGGUUAAGUCCCGCAACGAGCGCAACCCUUAAGCUUAGUUGCCAUCAUUAAGUUGGGCACUCUAAGUUGACUGCCGGUGACAAACCGGAGGAAGGUGGGGAUGACGUCAAAUCAUCAUGCCCCUUAUGAUUUGGGCUACACACGUGCUACAAUGGACAAUACAAAGGGCAGCGAAACCGCGAGGUCAAGCAAAUCCCAUAAAGUUGUUCUCAGUUCGGAUUGUAGUCUGCAACUCGACUACAUGAAGCUGGAAUCGCUAGUAAUCGUAGAUCAGCAUGCUACGGUGAAUACGUUCCCCGGGUCU